ACACACACACACACACACACAUGCAAUACCCAUACAUAAACACAUUGUCUCCAGUGCCCCCCAAAAUGUAUCUCUGAAAAAGACUGUGUGUGUGUGUGUGUGUGUGUGU